rnacentral:rRNA from 1 species
ACUCUGGAAUAGCCUUUCGAAAGAAAGAUUAAUACCGGAUAGCAUACGAAUAUCGCAUGAUAUUUUUAUUAAAGAAUUUCGGUUAUCGAUGGGGAUGCGUUCCAUUAGUUUGUUGGCGGGGUAACGGCCCACCAAGACUACGAUGGAUAGGGGUUCUGAGAGGAAGGUCCCCCACAUUGGAACUGAGACACGGUCCAAACUCCUACGGGAGGCAGCAGUGAGGAAUAUUGGUCAAUGGGCGCGAGCCUGAACCAGCCAAGUAGCGUGAAGGAUGAAGGCUCUAUGGGUCGUAAACUUCUUUUAUAUGGGAAUAAAGUUUUCCACGUGUGGAAUUUUGUAUGUACCAUAUGAAUAAGGAUCGGCUAACUCCGUGCCAGCAGCCGCGGUAAUACGGAGGAUCCGAGCGUUAUCCGGAUUUAUUGGGUUUAAAGGGAGCGUAGGUGGAUUGUUAAGUCAGUUGUGAAAGUUUGCGGCUCAACCGUAAAAUUGCAGUUGAAACUGGCAGUCUUGAGUACAGUAGAGGUGGGCGGAAUUCGUGGUGUAGCGGUGAAAUGCUUAGAUAUCACGAAGAACUCCGAUUGCGAAGGCAGCUCACUAGACUGUUACUGACACUGAUGCUCGAAAGUGUGGGUAUCAAACAGGAUUAGAUACCCUGGUAGUCCACACAGUAAACGA